rnacentral:rRNA from 1 species
GUGGGGAAUCUUCCGCAAUGGACGAAAGUCUGACGGAGCAACGCCGCGUGAGUGAUGACGGCCUUCGGGUUGUAAAGCUCUGUGAUCGGGGACGAAUGGCUGGUAUGCUAAUACCAUAUCAGAGUGACGGUACCCGAAUAGCAAGCCACGGCUAACUACGUGCCAGCAGCCGCGGUAAUACGUAGGUGGCAAGCGUUGUCCGGAAUUAUUUGGCGUAAAGCGCGCGCAGGCGGCUUCUUAAGUCCAUCUUAAAAGUGCGGGGCUUAACCCCGUGAUGGGAUGGAAACUGGGAGGCUGGAGUAUCGGAGAGGAAAGUGGAAUUCCUAGUGUAGCGGUGAAAUGCGUAGAGAUUAGGAAGAACACCGGUGGCGAAGGCGACUUUCUGGACGACAACUGACGCUGAGGCGCGAAAGCGUGGGGAGCAAACAGGAUUAGAUAGCCCGGUAGUCC